CUCGUAAGGGAUUAGGAGAAGGGGAAAUGUGAGGUCAUAAACCUCCUGAGGGCAAGUAAUGCCCUCCUGACAGAAAAGUGAAGAAGCCCAUUUGUUCAGAAGAAAAUGCCUCCCUGGGAGUUCCUCACCUCGCCAUGUGAAUUAUCUCCUCUUUAUUAGACCUAUGAAGAGGCCGAACAGGAAUACAACAGUGAAUAAGACAGAUGUCCCUGGCCUCACAAGACUAGUAAUUCAAUGGAGAAGACAGAAGUACUGAAAUAGGGAUGGAGUUUUACGAAAACGAGAAAGAACGAAUCUUCAGCUCCUAGAGACGUUUAUCAAAAUAUACCUAGCUGGGCAGUCAUCAUACAGGACACGCAGCUUGACCUUGCUUCUCGGAAAAGUGAUCAUUCCACUGUGGGACCAUGGGCUGCUUCUGAGGUACUAGUCGCUACUUGUAUUAUUUCUGCUAACUAGAUUGAAGAUUUAUAUUGCUGGAUACCAGAAAUGCUACUCAGUUUAUUUUGUACCCAAUUUAUAAGCUUUUCUAACCUUAUGAAGAACUAUAAGAAGACCGUGAAUCUUACAGGCUGGAGAGAGGAUAUUUUACUACAGGAAAAGUACUGCAUUGCUUAACUUGAAAGGUUACCUUUCAUUAAAACAGGGAUAAAUGCUUUUCUAGGAAGAAGAAUAAAUAUGUAAAA